rnacentral:rRNA from 1 species
UUCCGACCUGCACGAAUGGCGUAAUGAUGGCCAGGCUGUCUCCACCCGAGACUCAGUGAAAUUGAACUCGCUGUGAAGAUGCAGUGUACCCGCGGCAAGACGGAAAGACCCCGUGAACCUUUACUAUAGCUUGACACUGAACAUUGAGCCUUGAUGUGUAGGAUAGGUGGGAGGCUUUGAAGUGUGGACGCCAGUCUGCAUGGAGCCGACCUUGAAAUACCACCCUUUAAUGUUUGAUGUUCUAACGUGGACCCGUGAUCCGGGUUGCGGACAGUGUCUGGUGGGUAGUUUGACUGGGGCGGUCUCCUCCUAAAGAGUAACGGAGGAGCACGAAGGUUGGCUAAUCCUGGUCGGACAUCAGGAGGUUAGUGCAAUGGCAUAAGCCAGCUUGACUGCGAGCGUGACGGCGCGAGCAGGUGCGAAAGCAGGUCAUAGUGAUCCGGUGGUUCUGAAUGGAAGGGCCAUCGCUCAACGGAUAAAAGGUACUCCGGGGAUAACAGGCUGAUACCGCCCAAGAGUUCAUAUCGACGGCGGUGUUUGGCACCUCGAUGUCGGCUCAUCACAUCCUGGGGCUGAAGUAGGUCCCAAGGGUAUGGCUGUUCGCCAUUUAAAGUGGUACGCGAGCUGGGUUUAGAACGUCGUGAGACAGUUCGGUCCCUAUCUGCCGUGGGCGCUGGAGAACUGAGGGGGGCUGCUCCUAGUACGAGAGGACCGGAGUGGACGCAUCACUGGUGUUCGGGUUGUCAUGCCAAUGGCACUGCCCGGUAGCUAAAUGCGGAAGAGAUAAGUGCUGAAAGCAUCUAAGCACGAAACUUGCCCCGA